rnacentral:tRNA from 1 species
GUUCAUAUAGUUUUAAAACAAACAUUAGAUUGUGGCUCUAAAAAUAGGGGUUUGAACCCCCUUAUAAACC